AUUGAACGCUGGCGGCAGGCUUAACACAUGCAAGUCGAGCGGGGUGAUGGUGCUUGCACUAUCACUUAGCGGCGGACGGGUGAGUAAUGCUUAGGAAUCUGCCUAUUAGUGGGGGAUAACAUCUCGAAAGGGAUGCUAAUACCGCAUACGUCCUACGGGAGAAAGCAGGGGAUCACUUGUGACCUUGCGCUAAUAGAUGAGCCUAAGUCGGAUUAGCUAGUUGGCGGGGUAAAGGCCUACAAAGGCGACGAUCUGUAGCGGGUCUGAGAGGAUGAUCCGCCACACUGGGACUGAGACACGGCCCAGACUCCUACGGGAGGCAGCAGUGGGGAAUAUUGGACAAUGGGGGGAACCCUGAUCCAGCCAUGCCGCGUGUGUGAAGAAGGCCUUAUGGUUGUAAAGCACUUUAAGCGAGGAGGAGGCUCUUUUGGUUAAUACCCAAGAUGAGUGGACGUUACUCGCAGAAUAAGCACCGGCUAACUCUGUGCCAGCCGCCGCAGUAA
rnacentral:rRNA from 1 species